rnacentral:tRNA from 1 species
CCGCCAGUGGCUCGCCGAGGAGCGGUUCGCCGGCUCCCGGCUGGUGCUGGUCACCCGGGGCGCGGUCGCCGCCGCGCCGGGCGAG